rnacentral:rRNA from 1 species
AUUGAACGCUGGCGGCAGGCUUAAUACAUGCAAGUCGAACGGUAACAGCAGAAAAGCUUGCUUUUUUGGCUGACGAGUGGCGGACGGGUGAGUAAUACCUAGGAAACUGCCUAAACGAGGGGGAUAACAUUUGGAAACGAGUGCUAAUACCGCAUAAUACUGAGAAGUCAAAGAUUUUAUCGGUAAAGGAUGGGCUCGCGUCCCAUUAGCUAGUUGGUAGGGUAACGGCCUACCAAGGCAACGAUGGGUAGCCGACCUGAGAGGGUGAUCGGCCACACUGGAACUGAGACACGGUCCAGACUCCUACGGGAGGCAGCAGUGGGGAAUAUUGGGCAAUGGGCGCAAGCCUGACCCAGCAACGCCGCGUGAAGGAAGAAGGUCUUCGGAUUGUAAACUUUUGUUGUCAGUGAAGAAAAAGGACUGUAACUGACGAGAAAGCCCCGGCUAACUACGUG